rnacentral:lncRNA from 1 species
AUUUCUUUUGGCUGCCACGAAUCAAGGUUGAGAUGUAUUGAUAUAUAUGUUGAUGCAGAGUAGUGUAAAAUGCAAGGAGGUUUCUGAUUUUGUUCAAAGCACUAGCAACUANAAGAUCAUUUGAUUAGAGAUCCUUGGAACCAUUAGUGAGGAGCAGUAGCAACUUUUCCCAGCAUCAUCUAACACUGAACAGCGAAAGAACUGAAGUAGGAAUUAGUCUCGUUGGAGAAGGCUAGAAGCUGCANACUGACUAAAAGGGAGUUUCUUUUUGAUUAAUCAUUUGAUUUGUUUAAACUGUCCAUGUGGCUUGCAAUUGUUAAGAUGGGUGGAUGGCUGAUUUAUGUUGUGAAUUGUGUGCAGAAUUGGGUUGCUGGAAUUUAGUUCGAACAGGCAGUAGAAGAGACAUUUCACAUGGAAAUAUGUACACGACCAAGAAAGGGAGGACUCCUUUAUAUUUUUAAAUUUCAUCCUCUUGAUAUCUAUGUAGAAAAGGAGCACUAAUUCAGAUUGUGGUUAUAUGUGUUGCAGAGUUGGAUUUCCAGAAUUACAAUCAGAAGCAAGGAANGACCAUAAGCUGUCAGGAAGUAAACUGCGCAUGUGAAUAUUUUGGGGUACAAUGGACCGAGACCGUAGCAUCCUUGGGUUGAAGCAGAGACCAGUAGCAUAAUUUUGUAAUUUUUUAAUUUUUUUUUCUUGUAUUUGAUGGGCUUGCAGCCCAACUGUCACUGUUAGCUAUAGCUCUUGUUUGUAAAAGGCCUUUAUAAAGUCCAAGUUUGGAAGAGUCCUUGGUGCUCUUUCAAAUCUUGGCAACUUUAGUUGUUUUUCUUUUUGAUUCACGUAUAGGUGUGACUUUUUGUCACAUUAGAGUCCGUACAUCGUUU